rnacentral:rRNA from 1 species
UACGGGGGCAGCAGUGGGGAAUAUUGCACAAUGGGCGAAAGCCUGAUGCAGCUAUGCCGCGUGUAUGAAGAAGGCCUUAGGGUUGUAAAGUACUUUCAUCGGGGAGGAAAAAACAAAACUAAUAAUUUUAUUUCUUGACGUUACCCGAAAAAGAAGCACCGGCUAACUCCGUGCCAGCAGCCGCGGUAAUACGGAGGGUGCUAGCGUUAAUCAGAAUUACUGGGCGUAAAGAGCACGUAGGUGGUUUUUUUAAGUCAGAUGUGAAAUCCCUGGGCUUAACCUAGGAACUGCAUUUUGAAACUGAAAUACUAGAGUAUCGUAGAGGGAGGUAGAAUUCUAGGUGUAGCGGUGAAAUGCGUAGAUAUCUGGAGGAAUACCUGUGGCGAAAGCGGCCUCCUAAACGAAUACUGACACUGAGGGUGCGAAAGCGUGGGGAGCAAAACAGGGAUUAGAUACC